rnacentral:rRNA from 1 species
AAGACCUUGCGCUUUUGGAGCGGCCGAUGUCUGAUUAGCUUGUUGGURAGGUAAARGCUUACCAAGGCUUCGAUCAGUAGCUGGUCUGAAAGGACGRCCAGCCACACUGGGACUGAGACACGGCCCAGACUCCUACGGGAGGCAGCAGUGGGGAAUUUUGGACAAUGGGGGMAACCCUGAUCCAGCCAUGCCGCGUGAGUGAAGAAGGCCUUCGGGUUGUAAAGCUCUUUCAGCCGGAACGAAACGGUUACGGUUAAUACCYGUGAUUACUGACGGUACCGGAAGAAGAAGCACCGGCUAACUACGUGCCAGCAGCCGCGGUAAUACGUAGGGUGCGAGCGUUAAUCGGAAUUACUGGGCGUAAAGCGUGCGCAGGUGGUUUUGUAAGUCAGAUGUGAAAUCCCCGGGCUCAACCUGGGAACU